UUCAUCACAGGUCUGACAGUCAGAGACAAACAACCACACACUCACACAUUCACACCUGCAGGCAAUUUAGAGUGAACGAUUAACCUCACAACUUAACUGUGAAACUAAAACACAGAGCAAACUGUGAACCUAAGGGGAACAAAUGCAGAACUCAGGGAGCACAAGAGGACCCGGAAAAGACACAGGAAGGCAAGAUGACAACAGGAGCGACGCGAGGACGAGAAGUGAGCACAUGAACCAACAAAGAAUCUCCCAGCAGGAGGUUAUGAUGCAGCAUACUGGGCUCUGAUCACAGUCACACCAGCAGAUCCGCCCUGCUGACAGCAACCACAGCCAGAAGCUAAACAUGAUCAGUGUGGAGCAAGUUACUUCUAAAAGAAAUGAUCCAAACUGUGUUUGUCUACAGAAAGUGCAGCGCUUGCAGAACAGGAACAACUGGCAGUCGGGGACCUCCAAGAAGAAACUCAUUCACAAUGUCCAACAAACCAGAAGCCUGAGCAAACACUUCC